UACAGAGGGUGCGAGCGUUGUCCGGAAUCACUGGGCGUAAAGGGCGCGUAGGUGGCGCGACAAGUCAGUGGUGAAAGUUCGACGCUCAACGUCGAAUCGGCCACUGAUACUGUUGGGCUUGAGCACUGUAGAGGCUAAUGGAAUUCCGGGUGUAGCGGUGGAAUGCGUAGAGAUCCGGAAGAACACCGGUGGCGAAGGCGGUUAGCUGGGCAGUGGCUGACGCUGAGGCGCGACAGCGGUGGGGAGCAAACGAGGAUUACGAAACCCUAGUAAGAUCCCAG
rnacentral:rRNA from 1 species